GUGCUCACUUUGGCAGCACAUAUGCUAAAAUUGGAACACUCCAAUGAAGAUUGGCAUGGUCCCUGUGCAAGGAUACCAUGCAAAUUCAUGAAAUGUCCCAUUAUUUU